rnacentral:rRNA from 1 species
AACUUCUGAAUGUUGACCUCGGAUCAGGUAGGAAUACCCGCUGAACUUAAGCAUAUCAAUAAGCCGG